rnacentral:rRNA from 1 species
GAUGAACGCUGGCGGCGUGCUUAACACAUGCAAGUCGAGCGAAGCGAUUUUGCGAAAGCCUUCGGGUGGAAGCGAGAUUGACUUAGCGGCGGACGGGUGAGUAACGCGUGGGUAACCUGCCUCAUACAGGGGGAUAACAGUUAGUAAUGACUGCUAAUACCGCAUAAGCGCACAGUGCUGCAUAGCACAGUGUGAAAAACUCCGGUGGUAUGAGAUGGACCCGCGUCUGAUUAGGUAGUUGGUAGGGUAACGGCCUACCAAGCCGACGAUCAGUAGCCGACCUGAGAGGGUGACCGGCCACAUUGGGACUGAGACACGGCCCAAACUCCUACGGGAGGCAGCAGUGGGGAAUAUUGGACAAUGGGGAAACCCUGAUCCAGCGACGCCGCGUGAGUGAAGAAGUAUUUCGGUAUGUAAAGCUCUAUCAGCAGGGAAGAAAAUGACGGUACCUGACUAAGAAGCCCAGGCUAACUACGUGCCAGCCGCCGCGGUAAGAC